CACCUGGAGAAGUUUUUAAAUGAGAAAAGGAAAUUAUUCCUUAUAUGGUUAAUCAUUUAAGAAAGCACAAAUCACCUUAGCAAACGAUGCUAUAAAACACAUGUAGGUAGUUGUAGAGGUAAGAAUACUAAGGACAUUCAGACUAUGUCCUAAGAGCUUUGACCACUGACCCUUUUUUAUGGGGGUUUUAGAUUCACAUCAUGUAUAGUCUUUCAGCGAUGACUCCCUAAAGACCACAGUGACUGGCUGGUUAUUAGGGAAAUGGAAUGAACCUCCAAAGCUAUAUUUCACUUGCACGGAGUUUUGAAGUGAGUAGCUGACAUUCUCAGUUUGUUCUCCUGGAGCUUAGACAGCAACUCCAUAAUAAACUUCUCUAGUAUGUACUUAACCACCAUCUAACUGAAGAAAUGCCAAUACUUUCAAUUAGUUUUAUAGUAUGAGCUGUCACCAGAAUUGAAAUUUAGACAUUAUCAAUAAACCACAAAAACAUUUGAUAGGAAAAUAACAUGAUGAAUAAUUUAAUGUCUUACCAACUUAAAAGGUUCAGAGCAUCAUUCUAUCAAAACAAACAUGUAACUCAGAGUUUAUGGGUUUUAAAAGGUAACUGUUACAUUCUUUUAAGAGGCAGGAGGGAAAAAUCCUUCUCUCUCAAUCCUGUCCAGACAAUUAGAAAUUUUCCCAAGCCUUGUCUAGCUAUCCAGCACUGUAAAUGAUCCAAGCGAAUCUCCUGACAGUCAUAUUUCUUGGUCAAAAUAACCAUCCAGGAGGCCAUUGUGGCCCUUGAGACCACUGCCUGUCCUCACUCAUCCUGGCCUGGGAGCCAAAAGGCAAGGGGAGCCUCCUAUUCUCCCUGAUUUUUAUUCUCUGGGAAAACAGAGAACCAAGAAGAAAAAGAUUAUCAGAAAAUCCCAUGGAAAUUCUGAAAAUGGAUGUUGGAAUAAAUAGCAUAUAGCAUAUAUGAGUUUAAGGGAAAAGCUAAAUAACCCUUCUGAAAACAUGUUACAAACAAGCCAGGAACUGUUGAACUGGCUUUCUUUUUUCUAUCUCUUCUGGAAGCCAACUCUGCUGGGUAAAGAAGCAACCCCUUCCUUUUCCUGUCCUCCAGAACUUUUUCUUUUACUUCAUUUUACUUUUUAAGUUUCAACUGGUGGUUGUUGUCUACACAAAUACUCUGAUUCUUACACAGUUCAAAGCAGUGCCAGACCUGGGCAGGGUUUCUGGCAGAAACGGGUGCCACACUUUAGCUUUGUAACCAAUGUGCUGUGUAACUUAGAGCACGUCCGCUCUCCUCUCUAAGGCUCAGUUCUCUUAUUACAUAUUGAAAGAGAUGGAGAGGACUGCUAAUGUUCUAAAAUUCUACUGUCUUGUUGUGAUAGACUGAAUAAUGGCCCCUCAGGGACAGUCAUGGCCUGAUUCCUGGAAAUAUGUUACCUUACAUUGUAAAAGGGAUUUUGCAAAUGUGAUUAAGUGAAGAAUCUUAAAAUGUGAUUAAGUGAAGGAUCUUAAAUGAGAUUAUCCUGGAUUAUGUGGGAGAGCCCUAAAUGUAAUUCUAAGUAUCCUUGUCAGAGAGAGGUUGGCGGGGAGGGGGGUCAGUAUCAGGACAUGUGACAUGAAAGCAAGAGAGAAGAGUGAUUUGAGGAGGGGGCAGUAGAAUGCAGGUGGCCGCUAGAAGGUGAAAAAGGCAAGGAAACAGAUACCCCCUUGGAACCACCAGAAGGAACGUGCCUUUGCCCCGCAAGUCUGAUUUUAAGAUAAUAAAUAUGGGUUGUUUUAAGCCACUAAAGUUGUGGUAAUUUGUUGUACCAACAAUAGGAAGCUAAUACUCUUGUCAUAAGCUGCAGAGGUGAUUCCUAAAAUGUGGUGCUCAGACCACUCAGAAUUUCCUGGGCUACUUUUAAAAAAUGCAGAUUCCCUGACACAUAUACCAGCCCACAACUCAGUCCUACUGAGAAUACCUGGAGGGGGCACCAGGGAAUGUUCAUUUUUAGAAGUUCUCCAGAUAAAAAGAAAACAGGUUUUACGAACAGAAAAGUUUGGAAAUACUGGUUUCAGAACUGUUUUCCUAUGUUUAUUUUAAUUGGGCUUUUCUAUUUUUAUUUAUUUUUUAAUUAUUUAUUUUUAAAUUUAUAUCCAAGUUAGUUAGCAUAUAGUGCAACAGUGAUUUCAGGAGUAGAUUCCUUAAUGCCCCUUACCCAUUUAGCCCAUCCCCCCUCCCACAACCCCUCCAGUAACCCUCUGUUUGUUCUCCAUAUUUAAGAGUCUCUUAUGUUUUGUCCUCUUGUUUUUAUAUUAUUCAUUUAUUAUCACUAUUAUUUUUAAUAAUCUAUUUAGGAAUUUUCUAUUUUUAAAGCCUAUAAUUGUCCUUUUGGACUCAAACUCCUAUUUUUAUAUUCUAAUAAAUUUAAAAAAAUUAAUUUGGGGGCACCUAGGUGGCUCAGUUGGUUAAGCAUCCAACUUCCACUCAGGUUAUGAUCUCACAGUUUAUGAGUUUGGGGCUUUGUGCUGACAGCUCAGAGCUUGGAGCCUGCUUCAGAUUCUGUGUCUCCCUAUCUCUCUCUCUGCCCUUCCCCUAUUUGUGCUCUCUCUCUCUCUCAAAAAUAAUAAACUUUUUUUAAAGUUUAUUUAUUAAUUUUGAGAAAGAGAGACAGUGCAAGUGGAGGAGGGGCAGAGAGGGAGCGAGAGAGAAUCCCAAGCAGGCUCUACACUGGCAGCACAGAGCCUGACAUGGGGCUUGAACUCAUGAAACUGAGAUCAUGACCUGAGCUGAAACUAAGAGUCAAAUGCUUAACCAACUGAGCCACCCAGGCGCCCCAAUAAAUAAACUUAAAAAAAUUUUUUUUUCAUUUGGUUAUUCACCCAUAGAUUCAAUUUCAUUUCAAAAUCUUAUACCUUAUGUUUAAAAUUUUUUAAAAAUUUUAAUGUCUAUUUUUGAGAGAGAGAGAGAGACAGAGCAUGAGCGGGGCAGGAACAGAGAGAGAGAGAGGGAGACACAGAAUCUGAAGCAGGGCUCCAGGCUCUGAGCUGUCAGCACAGAGCCUGAUGCAGGGCUCAAACCCACAGACUGUGAGAUCAUGACCUGAGCUGAAGUCAGACGCUUAACUGACUGAGCCACCCAGGAGCCUCCAAGAUGUUAUACCUUUUUUGGUUUAGUUUAGUAAAAAAUUAGGACAAAAGAAGAGCUUAUAAAAAUAUAAGAGUGAGUCUUUCCACUCUCUGUCUACUUUUUCUUUGUGUAUUAAUAAUUGAAAAUCUCCCCAAAAUAUACAAAAGCCAGGUAAAACAAAACUAGAAAUUCAAUUGGAUAGCAAACUAUCAGAUAUAACCAACUUAUCAUUUGGUAGUAUAUUGUAAGAAGCAAAUUUCAAUUCAAAUUUCAAAUUUCAUUUCCAGAUUCAUUCAUUCAGAAGACCAGGGAGUCAGCCCUCCUAUCUCAUUACAAGAAAAAGCCAAAGCAAAAAGCAAUGGCUUAGGGCACAGAUGGAUCCUCUUGCCCUCAGGCCUGAUCACCACAAACUGACUUCAUCAGCAGGUCUGGAAUACUCAACAGUUCCAGAACCACUGGUCUUGGUACAGGCUCAACUACUGGGAACUAAGAACAAAGGCAGCAGACUGAAUGAUCACAGAGGUCUGAGAGACAACCAAGAACCUGGGCCAAGCUGACAAGGUUCAUCUCCUACAUAAGACCACUCUGUUAAGACUAGGAGAGGUGGCUGCUUUAUCUAAUGUGCAGAGACCAAGAGCGUCAAGAAAAAUAGAGAAACGGGAAUAUCUUUCAAACAAAGGAACAAGAUGAAUCUCCAGAAAGCAAUCUUAAUGAAAUAACUGACUUGCCUAAUAGACAGUUCAAAACAGUGGUUGUACAGAUGCUUACUGAGGUCAGGAGAGCAAUGCAUGAGGAAAGACAGAAUUUCUCCAAGAGAUACAAAAUAUAUUUAAAGAACAACCCCAAACAUAAAUCAUACAGCUGAAGAAUACAAUAACUGAACUGAAAAAAUUCAAUAGAGGGGUUCAAUAGUAGACUAUAUCAGGCAGAAGAAAGGAUCAGCCAACAUAAAGACAGAGCAAAGAAUCGCUUAAGGCACUAAUGGUACACCAUCACAGGUACAAAUAUUUCCAUUAUACGGGUUCGAGAAGAAAGGAGCAGAAAGCUUAUUGAAAGAAAUACUGGCUGAAAACUUCCCUCACCUGGGGAGAUAAACAGACAUACACAUCCAGGAAGCCCAAAGAAUACCAAACAAAAUGAAUCUAAAGAGACACACACACACCAAAACACAUAAUUAAAUUGUCAGAAGUUAAAAGACAAGGAGAGAAUCUUAAAAGCAUCAAGAGAAGAACAACUUGUUACAUAUAAGAGCACUCCCAUAAGACAAUCAGCCAGUUUUUCAGCCAGAAAUCUAGCAGGCCAGAGAUAGUGGGAUGAUGUAUUCAAAGCGUGAAAGAAAAAAACUGCCCAACAAGAAUCCUCUACUUGGCAAAGGUGUCCUUCAGAAUUGGAAGGAGAGAUAAAAGAGUUUUACAAACAAAAGCUGAAAGAGUUCAUUACCAAUAGCCCAGCCUUACAAGAAGUGUUAAAGGGACUUCUUCAAGUUGAAGUGAAGGACACUAAUUAGUAACAUGAAAACAUAUUAAAUUAUAAAACAAUAAAAUUUA